rnacentral:rRNA from 1 species
UACGGAGGGUGCGAGCGUUAUUCGGAAUAACUGGGCGUAAAGGGCACGCAGGCGGGCUUUUAAGUGGGAUGUGAAAUCCCCGGGCUUAACCUGGGAAUAGCAUUUGAGACUGGGAGUCUAGAGUACUUUAGUGAGGGGUAGAAUUCCACGUGUAGCGGUGAAAUGCGUAGAGAUGUGGAGGAAUACCGAAGGCGAAGGCAGCCUCUUGGGAAUGGACUGACGCUCAUGUGCGAAAGCGUGGGGAGCAAACAGG